UACGGAGGGUGCAAGCGUUGUUCGGAAUUAUUGGGCGUAAAGAGCGUGUAGGCGGCCGGGUAAGUCAGAUGUGAAAUCCUUCUGCUUAGCAGAAGAAGUGCAUUUGAUACUGUCCGGCUUGAGUACGGGAGAGGAAAGUGGAAUUCCCGGUGUAGAGGUGAAAUUCGUAGACAUCGGGAGGAACACCGGUGGCGAAGGCGGCUUUCUGGUCCGAUACUGACGCUGAGACGCGAAAGCGUGGGGAGCAAACAGG
rnacentral:rRNA from 1 species